CGGAUCCCACAGGCGAAGGAGCACGCGGGGCCGCCCCGGCCGGAGCUGCAAUCCGGCACCAGGGGGCGCUGCGGGGCUUGCCGUCGCCGGAAUCCCGCAGCCUCUGCAGGGUUCCAGUGCGUUAAAUUUGCAGCGCGGUCCGGCGGCAACCGUGGCGUCCAGUGAAUGUGGGAUGUGCCAGCGUUCACCAAUCGUCCCGCGGUGCUGAGGGGCAGGCAGCGGGGGUCUCCGUCAUUUUUCUCGUGUCUGCAUCUCCUCUGGAGUUGAGGAAACGGCCCUGCCACUCCCGGAGUUCUGCCCUGGCGGCCAGCUCCAGUUUUUUGAGACACUGAGAACAGAGUGACAUUUCCGGGGCUGUGGCUUGUGGAUGUGCACCCAGCUGAAAGUCCCUUGGCAUAACCGGAGCCAGCGCCUUUCCCAUGUGUUCUGCAGAGCUCCAAGCAGUCCCCUCUGCAUCACCACAGCUUUCCUCCUGCUUCGGACAUCUUGGGCUCCGACCGAGCACUGUACCGCUGUACACUGUCGCACAGCACAGCUGUGACACUGUCCGGCAGACAGAUUAUACUCUGUCUACUUAUACAAAAAAUGUACGGUAAAACACCAUGCCACAUUGUCCCGAAGCAGCCGCACACGUCUAGCGCUUGCCUCAUCUCUUGGUGACGUAAGCAGGCCAGCCUGAGUGACUGACCAUCUCGGUCCAUGAAGGUACGCGCUUGAUGGUCACACAAUGAGGAAACUGGCUAACUCCGCUAGGUGACAGAUGCAUGC